CAUAGAGGUCAGUUCGGCUGGAUCGGUGACAGGUGCUGCAUGGCUGUCGUCAGCUCGUGUCGUGAGAUGUUGGGUUAAGUCCCGCAACGAGCGCAACCCUUGUCCUUAGUUGCCAUCAUUAAGUUGGGCACUCUAGGGAGACUGCCGGUGUUAAACCGGAGGAAGGUGGGGAUGACGUCAAGUCCUCAUGGCCCUUAUAUCCAGGGCUACACACGUGCUACAAUGGCCGGUACAAAGGGCAGCAAUACCGCAAGGUGGAGCAAAUCCCAUAAAGCCGGUCUCAGCUCGGAUUGGAGUCUGCAACUCGACUCCAUGAAGUUGGAAUCGCUAGUAAUCGCGUAUCAGCAUGACGCGGUGAAUACGUUCCCGGGCCUU
rnacentral:rRNA from 1 species